rnacentral:sRNA from 1 species
UCGUGGACGACAGAGGGUUGCGGGGGAC